rnacentral:rRNA from 1 species
AUUAAGCCAUGCGAGUCGAGAGGUGCAAGACCUCGGCGCACUGCUCAGUAACACGUGGAUAACCUACCCUCAGGAGGGGGAUAACCCCGGGAAACUGGGGAUAAUACCCCAUAGAUCAGGGACGCUGGAAUGCCCCCUGAUUCAAAGGUCCGCCGCCUGAGGAUGGGUCUGCGGCCGAUUAGGUUGUUGUUGGGGUAACGGCCCAACAAGCCAUUGAUCGGUACGGGUUGUGAGAGCAAGAGCCCGGAGAUGGAUUCUGAGACACGAAUCCAGGCCCUACGGGGCGCAGCAGGCGCGAAAACUUUACAAUGCGAGAAAUCGUGAUAAGGGAACCCCGAGUGCCCGUAAAUUCGGGCUGUCCGCCAGUGUAAAUAACUGGUGAAGAAAGGGCCGGGCAAGACCGGUGCCAGCCGCCGCGGUAAUACCGGCGGCUCGAGUGGUGGCCACUAUUACUGGGCUUAAAGCGUCCGUAGCUGGAUUGUUAAGUCUCUUGGGAAAUCCACCGGCUCAACCGAUGGGCGUUCAGGAGAAACUGGCAAUCUAGGGACCGGGAGAGGUGAGAGGUACUCCAGGGGUAGGAGUGAAAUCCUGUAAUCCUUGGGGGACCACCUGUGGCGAAGGCGUCUCACUAGAACGGCUCCGACAGUGAGGGACGAAAGCUGGGGGAGCAAACCGGAUUAGAUACCCGGGUAGUCCCAGCUGUAAACGAUGCGCGUUAGGUGUAUCGGUGACCACGAGUCAUCGAGGUGCCGAAGGGAAACCGUGAAACGUGCCGCCUGGGA